GGCUUGGUAGCGCUCGGAGCGCGUCUGCGGUUCAUGUUGUAGUCGUGAGCGUGCAUAGCAGAGGGAGCCCGUUCGACUCGGGCCCGAGCCA